rnacentral:rRNA from 1 species
UACGGAGGGUGCGAGCGUUAAUCGGAAUUACUGGGCGUAAAGGGUGCGUAGGCGGUUUAUUAAGUUACUUGUGAAAUUCCUGGGCUUAACCUGGGAAUGGCAUUUGGGACUGCAAGGCUUGAGUGCGGCAGAGGAGACUGGAAUUCCUGGUGUAGCAGUGAAAUGCGUAGAUAUCAGGAGGAAUACCGAUGGCGAAGGCAGGUCUCUGGGCUGACACUGACGCUCAUGCACGAAAGCGUGGGGAGCAAACAGG